GCGCGAAACCUUUACAAUGCACGAAAGUGUGAUAGGGGGAUACUCAGUGCUUACGCUUAUGGUGUAGGCUUUUGUCGAUCGUAAAUAGAUCGGCGAAUAAGUGGUGGGUAAGACUGGUGCCAGCCGCCGCGGUAACCCCAGCGCCACAAGUGGUCAUCGCGAUUAUUGGGCCUAAAGCGUUCGUAGCCGGUCUGGUGCAUCUCUUGUGAAAUUGUUCGGCUUAACCGGACAGCGUGCAGGAGACACGGCCAGACUCGAGACCGGGAGGCGUAAGAAGUAUUCCAUGGGGACUGGUAAAAUGGGAUAAUCCAUGGAAGACUACCGAUGGCGAAGGCAUCUUACGAGAACGGAUCUGACGGUGAGGAACGAAAGCCAGGGGAGCGAACCGGAUUAGAUACCCGCGUAGUCC
rnacentral:rRNA from 1 species